UACAGAGGAGCCAAGCGUUGUCCGGAUUGACUGGGCGUAAAGCGCACGCAGGCGGACGCGCGCGUGGGGUGUGAAAUCUGGCCGCUUAACGGCCAGGCGCCAUCCCAUACGGCGCGUCUGGAGCCUUGCAGAGGUCGGUGGAAUUCCUGGUGUAGCGGUGAAAUGCGUAGAUAUCAGGAGGAACACCGGUGGCGAAAGCGCUCGUCUGGCCCAAUACUGACGCUGAUGCGCGAAAGCUAGGGGAGCAAACGGG
rnacentral:rRNA from 1 species